rnacentral:rRNA from 2 species
UAAAUCUUAGCGGUGGAUCACUCGGUUCGUGGAUCGAUGAAGAACGCAGCUAGCUGCGAUAAAUAGUGCGAAUUGCAGACACAUUGAGCACUAAGAAUUCGAACGCACAUUGCGCCAUCGGGUUCAUUCCCGUUGGCACGUCUGGCUGAGGGUCGAA